rnacentral:rRNA from 1 species
AUACGUAGGGGGCUAGCGUUAUCCGGAAUUACUGGGCGUAAAGGGUGCGUAGGUGGUUUCUUAAGUCAGAAGAGAAAGGCUACGGCUCAACCGUAGUAAGCUUUUGAAACUAAGAGACUUGAGUGCAGGAGAGGAGAGUAGAAUUCCUAGUGUAGCGGUGAAAUGCGUAGAUAUUAGGAGGAAUACCAGUUGCGAAGGCGGCUCUCUGGACUGUAACUGACACUGAGGCACGAAAGCGUGGGGAGCAAACAGGAUUAGAUACCCUGGUAGUCCACGCCGUAAACGAUGAGUACUAGCUGUCGGGGGUUACCCCCCUCGGUGGCGCAGCUAACGCAUUAAGUACUCCGCCUGGGAAGUACGCUCGCAAGAGUGAAACUCAAAGGAAUUGGCGGGG